AGCAGCAGCCACGGUAAUACGAAGGGUGCAAGCGUUACUCGGAAUUACUGGGCGUAAAGCGUGCGUAGGUGGUGGUUUAAGUCUGUUGUGAAAUCCCCGGGCUCAACCUGGGAAUGGCAAUGGAUACUGGCAAGCUAGAGUGUGUCAGAGGAUGGUGGAAUUCCCGGUGUAGCGGUGAAAUGCGUAGAGAUCGGGAGGAACAUCAGUGGCGAAGGCGGCCAUCUGGGACAACACUGACGCUGAGGCACGAAAGCGUGGGGAGCAAACAGGAUUAGAUACCCGCGUAGUCCCUGUCUCUUAUAC
rnacentral:rRNA from 1 species